rnacentral:rRNA from 1 species
GAUGAACGCUGGCGGCGUGCCUAAUACAUGCAAGUCGAGCGAACGGACGAGAAGCUUGCUUUUCUGAUGUUAGCGGCGGACGGGUGAGUAACACGUGGAUAACCUACCUAUAAGACUGGGAUAACUUCGGGAAACCGGAGCUAAUACCGGAUAAUAUUUUGAACCGCAUGGUUCAAAAGUGAAAGACGGUCUUGCUGUCACUUAUAGAUGGAUCCGCGCUGCAUUAGCUAGUUGGUAAGGUAACGGCUUACCAAGGCAACGAUGCAUAGCCGACCUGAGAGGGUGAUCGGCCACACUGGAACUGAGACACGGUCCAGACUCCUACGGGAGGCAGCAGUAGGGAAUCUUCCGCAAUGGGCGAAAGCCUGACGGAGCAACGCCGCGUGAGUGAUGAAGGUCUUCGGAUCGUAAAACUCUGUUAUUAGGGAAGAACAUAUGUGUAAGUAACUGUGCACAUCUUGACGGUACCUAAUCAGAAAGCCACGGCUAACUACGUGCCAGCAGCCGCGGUAAUACGUAGGUGGCAAGCGUUAUCCGGAAUUAUUGGGCGUAAAGCGCGCGUAGGCGGUUCUUUAAGUCUGAUGUGAAAGCCCACGGCUCAACCGUGGAGGGUCAUUGGAAACUGGAAAACUUGAGUGCAGAAGAGGAAAGUGGAAUUCCAUGUGUAGCGGUGAAAUGCGCAGAGAUGUGGAGGAACACCAGUGGCGAAGGCGACUUUCUGGUCUGUAACUGACGCUGAUGUGCGAAAGCGUGGGGAUCAAACAGGAUUAGAUACCCUGGUAGUCCACGCCGUAAACGAUGAGUGCUAAGUGUUAGGGGGUUUCCGCCCCUUAGUGCUGCAGCUAACGCAUUAAGCACUCCGCCUGGGGAGUACGACCGCAAGGUUGAAACUCAAAGGAAUUGACGGGGGCCCGCACAAGCGGUGGAGCAUGUGGUUUAAUUCGAAGCAACGCGAAGAACCUUACCAAAUCUUGACAUCCUUUGACAACUCUAGAGAUAGAGCCUUCCCCUUCGGGGGACAAAGUGACAGGUGGUGCAUGGUUGUCGUCAGCUCGUGUCGUGAGAUGUUGGGUUAAGUCCCGCAACGAGCGCAACCCUUAAGCUUAGUUGCCAUCAUUAAGUUGGGCACUCUAAGUUGACUGCCGGUGACAAACCGGAGGAAGGUGGGGAUGACGUCAAAUCAUCAUGCCCCUUAUGAUUUGGGCUACACACGUGCUACAAUGGACAAUACAAAGGGCAGCGAAACCGCGAGGUCAAGCAAAUCCCAUAAAGUUGUUCUCAGUUCGGAUUGUAGUCUGCAACUCGACUACAUGAAGCUGGAAUCGCUAGUAAUCGUAGAUCAGCAUGCUACGGUGAAUACGUUCCCGGGUCU